rnacentral:rRNA from 1 species
AUUGAACGCUGGCGGCAGGCCUAACGCAUGCAAGUCGAACGGUAACAGGAAGAAGCUUGCUUCUUUGCUGACGAGUGGCGGACGGGUGAGUAAUGUCUGGGAAACUGCCUGAUGGAGGGGGAUAACUACUGGAAACGGUAGCUAAUACCGCAUAACGUCGCAAGACCAAAGAGGGGGACCUUCGGGCCUCUUGCCAUCGGAUGUGCCCAGAUGGGAUUAGCUAGUAGGUGGGGUAACGGCUCACCUAGGCGACGAUCCCUAGCUGGUCUGAGAGGAUGACCAGCCACACUGGAACUGAGACACGGUCCAGACUCCUACGGGAGGCAGCAGUGGGGAAUAUUGCACAAUGGGCGCAAGCCUGAUGCAGCCAUGCCGCGUGUAUGAAGAAGGCCUUCGGGUUGUAAAGUACUUUCAGCGGGGAGGAAGGGAGUAAAGUUAAUACCUUGGCUCAUUGACGUUACCCGCAGAAGAAGCACCGGCUAACUCCGUG